rnacentral:rRNA from 1 species
AAUAGAUACCCCGGUAGUCCACGCCGUAAACGAUGGAUGCUAGCUGUUAUGAGUAUCGACCCUUGUAGUAGCGAAGCUAACGCGUUAAGCAUCCCGCCUGUGGAGUACGAGCGCAAGCUUAAAACAUAAAGGAAUUGACGGGGACCCGCACAAGCGGUGGAGCGUGUUGUUUAAUUCGAUGAUAAGCGAAGAACCUUACCAAGGCUUGACAUCCCUGGAAGGUCUCCGAAAGGAGACUGUGCCUUCGGGAAUCAGGUGACAGGUGAUGCAUGGCCGUCGUCAGCUCGUGUCGUGAGAUGUUUGGUUAAGUCCAUCAACGAGCGCAACCCUUAUAAAUAGUUGAAUUUUUCUAUUUAGACUGCCUCGGUAACGGGGAGGAAGGAGGGGAUGACGUCAGGUCAGUAUUUCCCUUAUGCCUUGGGCUACAAACACGCUACAAUGGCCGGUACAAAGGGCAGCCAACCCGCGAGGGGGAGCAAAUCCCAUCAAAACCGGUCCCAGUUCGGAUAGCAGGCUGAAACUCGCCUGCUUGAAGUCGGAAUCGCU